AUCGAACGCUGGCGGCAGGCCUAACACAUGCAAGUCGAGCGGAUGAAGGGAGCUUGCUCCUGGAUUCAGCGGCGGACGGGUGAGUAAUGCCUAGGAAUCUGCCUGGUAGUGGGGGAUAACGUCCGGAAACGGGCGCUAAUACCGCAUACGUCCUGAGGGAGAAAGUGGGGGAUCUUCGGACCUCUCGCUCUCAGAUGAGCCUAGGUCGGAUUAGCUAGUUGGUGGGGUAAAGGCCUACCAAGGCGACGAUCCGUAACUGGUCUGAGAGGAUGAUCAGUCACACUGGAACUGAGACACGGUCCAGACUCCUACGGGAGGCAGCAGUGGGGAAUAUUGGACAAUGGGCGAAAGCCUGAUCCAGCCAUGCCGCGUGUGUGAAGAAGGUCUUCGGAUUGUAAAGCACUUUAAGUUGGGAGGAAGGGCAGUAAGUUAAUACCUUGCUGUUUUGACGUUACCAACAGAAUAAGCACCGGCUAACUUCGUG
rnacentral:rRNA from 1 species